GGGCUUGUUUUGUUUGAUACCAAUUUAUUACCCUAUCAAAAUUUUGGUAACUUCAAUAGUAGCAAUUGCAUGUUUGGUGUGCUACCAAAUAUUACCCGCAAUAGUUCAAUUGAAUACUACCCAAUUUGAUAGUGCCAAAAUUUACCAAUGUUUUGGCACUAUCAAAAUUUUAGUAGGAUAAAAAUUGGCUCCAAACCAAACAAGCCCACA
rnacentral:misc_RNA from 1 species